AUACGUAGGGGGCAAGCGUUAUCCGGAUUUACUGGGUGUAAAGGGAGCGUAGACGGCACUGCAAGUCUGGAGUGAAAGCCCGGGGCUCAACCCCGGGACUGCUUUGGAAACUGUGGUGCUAGAGUGCAGGAGAGGUAAGUGGAAUUCCUAGUGUAGCGGUGAAAUGCGUAGAUAUUCGGAGGAACGCCAAUUGCGAAGGCAGCUGGCCGGGCCGCAAUCGACGCUGAGGCACGAAAGCGUGGGGAUC
rnacentral:rRNA from 1 species